GUGAAUUUAAGCAUAUCACUAAGCGGAGGAAAAGAAACUAACAAGGAUUCCCCCUAGUAACGGCGAGUGAACAGGGAAAAGCCCAGCACCGAAGCCUGUGGCCAUUUGGUUACUAGGCAAUGUGGUGUUUAGGUCGUUCCGCGAAGGUACUGCUCCAUCCCAAGUCCAGCAAUGAGUACGGUAUUAUUUACCUGGCCCAAAGAGGGUGAAAGGCCCGUUGGGGUGGAGGCGCAGUAAUGCCAGUGCCUUCCUGGUUAGACCUUGGAGUCGGGUUGUUUGAGAAUGCAGCCCAAAGUGGGUGGUAAACUCCAUCCAAGGCUAAAUACUAACACGAGUCCGAUAGCGAACAAGUACCGUGAGGGAAAGUUGAAAAGUACUUUGAAGAGAGAGUAAACAGUACGUGAAACCGCUCAGAGGUAAACGGGUGGAGUUGAACUGUGAUCUCUGUGGAUUUAGCUGGUGAGAAUGGUUUGAGCUUGAUCAAGUUGGCCGUUAUCUGGGGUCUGCUUAGCCGCAGGUCUUCACUGUUGUGUGGAGAUGCACGAUGCACUGUUUGUGCUGUGUGCCUCGGAGAAACUCGGGCCGUCUCGCCAGUGCACUUCCUCAGAGUGUUCACCACGACCAGCAUUGCUGUCUGGCUGUUGUGGUUAAACCGGUCUGGCAAGUUCAUGUGGCUUCGCUUGGUCGGGAUGGCAGGUAGCUAGUUGGCUUGCCCGUAUUCGUUAUGGGUUUUGUCUUCUAGUGUUUUGCUGACCGCAACGGUUCAGUGCAGUAUGUUGGAGACGGCGGCUUGUGGUGUGUGCGUGCGUACCAGUUAGCUGGCGUUCUCGGGUUUGGUUAUUAUGUUGCUUGUGUUUGCAGGCCUUAUGAUAUCCCGGGUUCGUUCGGUUGGCGGUUGCGUGCGUGUCACUUAUCAGGGCCAAUAGUCUGUGGUGUUGCGGUAGACUUUCCACCUGACCCGUCUUGAAACACGGACCAAGGAGAGUAACAUGUGCGCGAGUCAUUGGGCGUAACGAAACCCAAAGGCGAAGUGAAAGUAAAGGUCUGGCUUGUCCGGACUGAGGUGAGAUCCUGUCGUUUCUUACACGUGGUAUUAUCAAGCACAGAGCGGCAGGCGCAUCACCGGCCCGUCCCAUGAUGUGUUGACACUUGUGUUUUCCAUCGGGGCGGAGCAUGAGCGUACAUGUUGAGACCCGAAAGAUGGUGAACUAUGCUUGCGCAGGUUGAAGCCAGAGGAAACUCUGGUGGAGGACCGCAGCGAUUCUGACGUGCAAAUCGAUCGUCAGACGUGAGUAUAGGGGCGAAAAGACUAAUCGAAACCAUCUAGUAGCUGGUUUCCCUCC
rnacentral:rRNA from 1 species